GACGAGGGCGAGCUCCAGAAUCCCGGGUCUGGGGUCCCGGCCGGGAGGAUUCAGGCCUGAUUCCUGGGGUCCCGGCUUCGAGCAGGGAGGUGGUCAGGGGACCGGUUUUGGCUCUGGCUGUGCGGCGAGGUCUACCAUCGCCGCUGGAGCACCCGUGCCUCCCACAAAGGCUUUAGUAUCCAUGCCCUAAAAGGAGGAAUAAGGAGGACAAAUCACACUACUGCUGCUCAGUAGCUAUAUAAUCUUGGGAUAAAUUUACACUGCAGCCUGCUACGUUUUGUAAGCUUUGGUUAUUUGCAACUGCCAACCUCCCUGUCCCCCUUGGAGCAAUUUUCAAACAGGAGGUUCUGUAACCGCCAAGGGGAAGGAAACAGAAACAGGCGCUGCGACAGCAAGGGUUCCACUCCGGAAAUGACCCCCAGAGGAGCUGGGGCUGUGCCAGAAAGAAGAGCGAGAUAAAAGAGGCCAGGACUCAAAACCGGAGACAGAGGAGAACUGUGUAAACAGAUGAUUCUGUCCGCUUUGGCAGCUCUCCCCCUAUCACCCCAUCCCGAUCCUUCCCACACUCCACACAGAAGAGACUCAAAAUCUCAACAGUGACAGAGUCAGGGCCACACCAAGGGACACCCUUGCCAGAAAAGACCUGGGGCAGUGCUCCGGCCACAGUUUCAUACACCCUUCUGGAAUGCGAACUUUUCCCCCCGCCCCUCCUUCAGGCAACUUGGGGGAAGAAAAAGAGAAAACAAAGGCGGAUGGGCUGAGGUGGGGAUGUGGCAAGGUGGAGCCAAAAGUUAUAAAUGACAACUUGGGGCCUAAAAAUGAAUGCGUCUAUUGGCGUUCCACUACUUUAGGACAGAAUCCUAAUAUGGAAUUAACUUUUGUGACUUAGACAAGUUUUCCACAUUUCCAAAAGAGAAAGGAGCCUACUGUAUAUUCAGCUCUGUAAUAUUUGGUUCUUUCAAUUUUAAUUUUUUUGAAAAAGUCAAAGCCCCAGAAAAGUUGCAAAAAUAGUACAGUGAAAUUUAUAUGCCCUUAACCUCAGUUGUGAUUUGAUGAGAUUUUGUCCUUUUCUCUCUGUUUUGUUGAACCAUUUUUCACAACACUUUAAUCCCUAAAUAUAGGCCCAUAUCUCCAAGAACAAAGACAUUCUCUACAUUUAUGCACUAUCAUAAUCUCACCUAAGAAAUGUAACAUUGAUUUAAUAUCAUCUAAUAUGUAGAUCAUGGGCUUCCAGGGGGUGCAGUGGUAAAGAAUCUGCCGGAAACGCCAGAGACCUAGGUUCAAUUCCUGGGUCAGG